rnacentral:rRNA from 1 species
CGUUAAGUUGCAGGGUAUAGACCCGAAACCCGGUGAUCUAGCCAUGGGCAGGUUGAAGGUUGGGUAACACUAACUGGAGGACCGAACCGACUAAUGUUGAAAAAUUAGCGGAUGACUUGUGGCUGGGGGUGAAAGGCCAAUCAAACCGGGAGAUAGCUGGUUCUCCCCGAAAGCUAUUUAGGUAGCGCCUCGUGAAUUCAUCUCCGGGGGUAGAGCACUGUUUCGGCAAGGGGGUCAUCCCGACUUACCAACCCGAUGCAAACUGCGAAUACCGGAGAAUGUUAUCACGGGAGACACACGGCGGGUGCUAACGUCCGUCGUGAAGAGGGAAACAACCCAGACCGCCAGCUAAGGUCCCAAAGUCAUGGUUAAGUGGGAAACGAUGUGGGAAGGCCCAGACAGCCAGGAUGUUGGCUUAGAAGCAGCCAUCAUUUAAAGAAAGCGUAAUAGCUCACUGGUCGAGUCGGCCUGCGCGGAAGAUGUAACGGGGCUAAACCAUGCAC